CCUGUAUGAUGGCAUGGGUUCAUUAUAGAACAGGUUCAGUGUGAGGAGCUGUAUGAUGGCAUGGGUUCAUUAUAGAACAGGUUCAGUGUGAGGGGCUGUAUGAUGGCAUGGGUUCAUUAUAGAACAGGUUCAGUGUGAGGGGCUGUAUGAUGGCAUGGGUUCAUUAUAGAACAGGUUCAGUGUGAGGGGCUGUAUGAUGGCAUGGGUUCAUUAUAGAACAGGUUCAGUGUGAGGGGCUGUAUGAUGGCAUGGGUUCAUUAUAGAACAGGUUCAGUGUGAGGGGCUGUAUGAUGG